CACCCACGCGGCGCAGCUCCCAAAGUUGCAGACAGCCCGGCGAACCGCGCAAUGCGCUUCUUCUGCCUGCAGCAGAGAAAAGGAAAGAAAACUCCGCAGGGGCUCCGUUGGCUUCUCCACGAGUGACAACCAUGUUUUCCCAGAUAGAAGACCGGAGCCCUGCUCCUUUGCGAUCCGCCGAGGGCUGCAGAGAGCAUCCUCAUCCAUUUGGGCACCCCUGCCCAGGAAGAGCCCGGCCAUCCCUUUCCGGACUGGAUCCUUAAGAGGUGAAUUUUCUUCCGUGGAUUCCGAUUUGCUCCGUCUGACCAGCCUAGGCAAUCCAGCAUCGCGUGGUACCAGUGCCGCUGGGCACACUGGCUUCACGCCGGCUCCGCCUCACCAGCAAGCGCAUUCCCAGGGUGGUCAGGCUCAGGAUGGACCAUGAGCUUUCAAAAAGGAAAAAGGUGGAAAUCCUCAACUAUGCUGCCAUCUGAAUAAGUGUUUCUUUGUAGAUGCACAGAGUCAAGGAAAAUUACAUCCCUGCAUUAUGUAAUGUACCAACAACGCACUUACCCACUGUUUUAAUCUAGGUUAUUCUUGAAAGCAGAGCCUGAGACAAAGGUAGACACAUUCUAUUUAUGAGUCUAACACCCAGGAGCAGGAAUGAGAGAUAGGGGAGUGAACUGGGGAAAAGGGAAACUAAGUCCGAGCAAAACCAGAUACUGCUCUUAUCAAGUGGUCCACCCCUAUUAAUGGCUACAUAAUGCAGAACUUUCUCAGGAUUCUUCUUAAACUUUAUCUCAGAACUGUCUGCCUCAGGGAGAAAGGAGAAGUAUUUCUCCAUCAGCAGCCACCUCCUGUGUGUUGAGGGCUGCUCCUUUGGGGCAUUAACCCACUGCCUCCACCACCCCAACCCUCUGGGCUGCAAAGAGCUAGCUGACAGUCCAGCUGGUACCUUAGCAUCACACAUUGCUGCAUCAGAGAGGUCUUAAGACAGGAAGCUAGAGUCUUGGUGCAUGCUCGAAGUGAGACGGUGUCAGCACAGAGCAGGGUAAAAUCUUCCCGUUAACUCUUCACCAGAGCUAUGACUGGAAUCAGAGGUUGAAAAGAUGUGAGACUGUACCCAAGAAGCAUCUUAUAAGCCUACGUAAUAUACUGUUAGACUCAUCGAAAUCUAUUUCCUCCCUUCUUUAUAAUCAAAACUUCAGUGUCCAGAAUAAAGUUGGCAGAAGGGUUAAAUUGGAAAGUUAAAUGUACUAGAAGGUGUACAUUUAUAAGUUUUGACCUUGAGUCGUGUUCAAGGAGAAAGUGACAUUGGAACUUGGAAAAUUUAAAAAUGAUUCUACUUGAAAAAUUUGACCAUUGCAUAGAAAUAUUAGCUAUCGUCUAAUCUUUUGUAAUCUUAGAAACAAUCGUGAAUUGUUUGGUGAAAAAUGAAAAAAUAACCAUUUCUUAUGUCUCCGUGACCUUUAUAGACCAAUGUCACCAACUUUUCCUAAGGUAAUUGUUUCCUACUGUCAAAUAGCUCUAGUGAUAUAAAUCUUAACAAUCAAUGAAGGGAAAACUGGUGGAAACAUAGGAGGAAAAAUACUGGGAUAAUUUUCAUCACAAAGUAUUGGCAUUAACAUUGGUUAGAAUAGGGGAGAAACUGCAUGACUUGACAACUGGACAUUCCUGUAUGUUGUAUGAGGCCCUGUCUUAACAGAAAUAGUGAUGUCAUCAUCAUCCUCUCUUAUUUGGUCUUGAAUUGCCACCAAUCGGAUAAAACCUUUGAAUUAUUUAACUCAAUAUAUGUUAAGUUUCUACUAUGUGCUGUGUAUUGGUACUAUAAAUAUGAAUAAGACAUAAGAUAUUACAUUCAAAAACAUCAGAAUACAUGUUCUUUUAAAGUAUACCCCAAAACAUUUACCAUGUGUUCUGGGGCGCAUGUUAGGCUGGAUCACAAAUCAAGUCUCAAGAAUUUCAAAAGAUUGAAAUCAUAUAGAGUAUGAAUUAAACCAGAAAUCAAGUACAUAAAGGUAACAAAAAAUUUCCAAAAUGCAUUAAUUUAAGGAACAUACACCUCAUGACCCAUGAGCCAAAAAAUAAAUCACGGCAAAAUUGCAAAAAUAUUUUGAAAUGAAUUUUAAAGAAAAUACUUAGCAUAUUAAAUACUUAGCAUAUUAAAGCUCUAAGUACAUAUGUUAGAAAUUUUACCGAAAGGUUGGCUAUCAGUGUUUCCAGAAGCCAGGGAAAAAGUUUAUACAAUUUGAUCGCUGAGGCAGGGAAACAAAGUGAGACCUCCGAUCGCCCUGCCUUUCUGAGGUGAGCACUCUGGAUCCCAUCGCAGGAGAUCAGAGUCUUGCUGAGUUGAGGAGAGGAAGAUUGGAGUUGAUACUGAGAUAGCUUGAAUUUUCAGGACAAAGUAUCAACAAGGAGGAAGGUAGACAAAAAAAUCCAGAAAUCUAUGUAGAGACCCCAUUGUGUACAUUGCGGAACACUAAGCCUAACAAUUCUCAAAAUUAGCGUGAGAUUGGGAAAUAUCUAAUUUCCAUCCAGCCACAGUGGAGAGUCCUGACUGAAAACCAGGCAUUCGCUAAAGAUCCCAGAAAGGUUGUGUGUUACAUACGUAGGGCUAAACUAUCCUGACUAAAAACUACACUACACUUGCUCCUCACCCCCACAAAAAGCUUAAAAACAAGCCUCAAUAGUAUAAAGCUGAUCUGUAAGUAACUAAACUACCUGCAGAACAAAGUCCAAAUUUAUUAGUUCCAGUACUCCAAAAAAAACACAUGUAAAAAAAAAAUAGAUUUACAAGACAUUUAUUUGGGGAAAAAAAGAAUGCCUGAGGGUUGAAAUGGAGAGGAAGCCAGAGAGACAGAGUCCUCAGAAUACAUAAAAUUUCUGGCCUCCAUGGAGGUGUGAUGGUUAAUUUUAUGCAUGUCAACUUCGCUGGGCCACAGGAUGCCCCAUAUAUGAUCGAACAUUAUUUCUGGUUGUGUUCAUGAAGCUUUUUCUGGAGGAAAUUCGCAUUUGAAUUGAUGGACUGAAUAAAGCAGAUUGCAGUCCCCAGUGUGGAUGGGCUUGAUCCAGUCUUCUAAGGACCCAAAUAAAAUAGGUGGAGGAAGCUUGAAUUUUCUGCCUGACUGUGGCGCUGGGACACCCAUCUUCUCCUGCCCUUGAACUGGGACUGACACCAUCAGUGCUCCUGGUUCUCAGACCUUCGGACAGCAGACUUGGGGCCUUCUCGGCCUCCAUUAUUGUGUAAGCCAAUUCCUUAUAAUAAAUAAGGGUUUAUUUAUUGA
rnacentral:lncRNA from 1 species